rnacentral:tRNA from 1 species
CAGGGCAUAGCUAAAUAACUAAAGCAUCUCACUUACACCGAGAAGGUGCCCGCGAAACUCGGGCUGCUCUGA